UGGCAGCAGGUACCUCACGCCAAGCACACAACCCUGACAAAACCCAUCCAAGAAAAAAAGGAAAAAAAGAGCCCCGCGCCUCCCUCUAAUCUCCCAAAACCCUACUCCGUCGGCGGCGAUGGCGAAGUCGGCGGCGGCGGAAGCAGCGCCGCCGGAGACGGUGGGGCAGGCGGUGGUUCCCCUCGUCAACAGCUUGCAGGACAUCAUCGCGCGGCUGGACGGCGAUGACGCCGCCGGCCUAGAGCUGCCGCAGGUGGCGGCGAUCGGCGGGCAGAGCAGCGGCAAGUCGAGUGUGCUGGAGGCGCUCGUCGGCCGCGACUUCCUCCCUCGGGGCCCCGACAUCUGCACGCGCCGGCCCCUCGUGCUCCAGCUCGUGCGCCACUCGGCCCUCGAGGAGUGGGGCGAAUUCCUCCACGCCCCCGGCCGCCGAUUCCAUGACUUCGAACAGAUCAAGCGCGAGAUCCAGUUAGAAACGGACAAAGAAGCUGGAGACAACAAAGGGGUUUCGGAGAAACAAAUUCGGCUGAAAAUCUUUUCACCAAAUGUCCUAGACAUCACCUUGGUUGACCUCCCUGGAAUAACAAGGGUGCCAGUUGGAGACCAGCCUAGUGAUAUUGAGUCAAGAAUAAGAACAAUGAUCAUGCAGUACAUUAAGCAUCCAAGUUGUAUUAUCUUGGGUGUCUCUCCAGCAAAUGCAGAUUUAGCUAAUUCUGAUGCGCUCCAACUGGCAAGGCUUGCUGAUCCUGAUGGGUCUCGUACAAUUGGUGUUAUCACCAAGUUAGAUAUCAUGGACAGGGGCACUGAUGCUCGUAAUUUUUUACUGGGAAAUGUGAUCCCACUCAAGCUUGGUUAUGUAGGCGUCAUAAAUCGCAGCCAAGAGGAUAUCAACUUUAACCGAAGUGUCAAAGAUGCACUUGCUUUUGAGGAGAAGUUCUUCUCAUCUCUACCUGCUUAUAAUGGUCUUGCACAUUGUUGUGGUGUUCCUCAGUUGGCCAAGAAGCUAAAUACGAUUCUACUAAAGCACAUCACAGAUAUGCUUCCAGGCUUGAAAACUCGCAUCAAUGCUCAGUUGGUAGCAGUUGCGAAGGAACAUGCUGCCUAUGGUGAUACUGUAGAAUCAACGCUUUUUCUUCAAUGGUGGAGGGAAAAAAUAGAGUGUCAACAGAUAAACUUUCUGGUGGAGCUAGGAUUCACUACAUUUUUCAGUCAAUAUUUGUCAAGACUCUGGAGGAAAUCGACCCUUGCAAGAGUAUUACUGAUGAAGAUAUCCGCACAGCCAUCCAGAAUUCUGGCGGUCCAAAGGGUGCUAUGUUUCUGCCAGAGGUGCCAUUUGAGAUCCUUGUGCGAAAGCAGAUAUGUCGUCUGCUCGAUCCAAGUCUUCAGUGUGCACAAUUUAUCUAUGACGAGUUAAUCAAAAUGGAUUAUAUAAAUACUUCGCAUCCAAGUUUUCUUGGAGGCAGCAAAGUUGUUGAGCUUGCUAAGCAUGAAGUUCUACCUUCCAAAACAUCAGCUUCACUAUCGGGUCUUAAGUGCUGCAGGUGAUGAUGGAUCCGACGGUGAACCUCCGGUUGGUUCACAUGCAGGUGAUGUAGCAGCACUUCCAUCAUCAGGCUCUACAAGUGCGUACACAUUAGCAAGGACCGAGUCUAAAAGAUCAAGAGCCGGUACUUCUGAAGUUUAGCAAGACUUUGAAAAGUUCUACAAAUAGGAAAAUAGGGUAAGUGUCAGGUAUGCUAGGUGUUAUAUUUGCAAACAUGAAUUAUCUGCAAAACCCUCGGGUGGAACGAGGCACUUGAAGAGGCACGCCACAAGUUGCAAGCGAAAGAGUGGAGCAGCCAUGAAGCAGACGGUGUUGCAGUACAACCCCGACGGCUCUGUUCGUCAUUGGGAGUACGACUCUGCUAAUGCUCGAAAAGAGCUAUGUUGCUUCAUUACAAGAGUGGAUCAUCACUCAAUAUCGGAUGGUAUUGUUGGCUCUGAGAUACAAUUAACAGCUGAAAGAAGUCAAAAGUCACGUGCUGUUUUCGCAAGAGAUGCUACCAGAGGAGCAACAUCUGAUCAGCCUGAUAUGGAUGCAGGAACAAGUCUGACAGGUGGAACUCAGACAGUUAACUCACAGGUUGGUGGGAUUUCAUCAAACCAAUUAUUUCCACGAGUUCGAAGCCUAGAUGACAUAUACUCUAUCAUUCAGCUAAAAGAG